rnacentral:rRNA from 1 species
ACGGGUGAGUAACACGUAUCCAACCUGCCGUCUACUCUUGGCCAGCCUUCUGAAAGGAAGAUUAAUCCAGGAUGGCAUCAUGAGUUCACAUGUCCGCAUGAUUAAAGGUAUUUUCCGGUAGACGAUGGGGAUGCGUUCCAUUGAUAGUAGGCGGGGUAACGGCCCACCUAGUCAACGAUGGAUAGGGGUUCUGAGAGGAAGGUCCCCCACAUUGGAACUGAGACACGGUCCAA